rnacentral:rRNA from 1 species
GAUGCCGAUCUCGAAAACCUGUCCCAGUUCGGACUGGAGUCUGCAACCCGACUCCACGAAGUUGGAUUCGCUAGUAAUCGCGCAUCAGCCAUGGCGCGGUGAAUACGUUCCCGGGCCUUGUACACACCGCCCGUCAAGCCAUGGGAGCCGGGGGCGCCUGAAGUCCGGGACCGCGAGGACCGGCCUAAGGCGAAACUGGUGACUGGGGCUAAGUCGUAACAAGGUACC